rnacentral:rRNA from 1 species
AAUGAACGUUUGAACUAUACUUAACACAUGCAAGUUGUACGAAAUUUUUUAAAAUUACAAAAAUUGUAAAAAAUAUUAUUAAGUAGCGUCCGGGUGAGUAAAACAUUUGAAUAGUCUUUUAAAGAUCGGGAUAUAUUUUAUGAAAGUGAAAAGGAAUACCGAAUAAUCAAAAAUUAAUUACUUUAAAAAUUGCAAAUGGAAAAUUAAAAUAGAAGGUAAGAUAAUAGCUUAGCCUUGUUUAUGAUUUUUAGCUGGUAUGGGAGUACGUCCAGCCACGUUGGAACUGAAACAAGGUUCAAGCCUCCACGGAGGGCAGCAGUGAGGAAUAUUGGGCAAUGGGCGACAGCCUGACCCAGUAAUAGUUCACGAGUGAGAAACGGACAGCAAUAUCGCUGUAAAGCUCUUUUGUUAAGGAAGAUAAUGACAUUACUUAAAGAAUAAGCACUGGCUAAUUCUGUGCCAGCAGCCGCCGUAAGAC